rnacentral:hammerhead_ribozyme from 1 species
GCAUUGUUGAGGAGUCCCAUAAUAGGACGAAACAGUCGUCCAGUGC